AUUGAACGCUGGCGGCAGGCCUAACACAUGCAAGUCGAGCGGAGCGGCGGACGGGUGAGUAAUGCCUAGGAAUCUGCCUGGGAGUGGGGGAUAACGUCCGGAAACGGGCGCUAAUACCGCAUCCUUUCAGAUUAGCCUGGGUGGGAUUAGCUAGUUGGUGGGGUAAAGGCAUACCAAGGCGACGAUCCGUAACUGGUCUGGGAGGAUGAUCAGUCACACUGGGACUGAGACACGGUCCAGACUCCUACGGGAGGCAGCAGUGGGGAAUAUUGGACAAUGGGCGAAAGCCUGAUGCAGCCAUGCCGCGUGUGUGAAGAAGGUCUUCGGAUUGUAAAGCACUUUAAGUUGGGAGGCGUUACCAACAGAAUAAGCACCGGCUAACUUCGUGCCAGCAGCCGCGGUAAUAC
rnacentral:rRNA from 1 species